GAUGAACGCUGGCGGAGUGCCUAACACAUGCAAGUCGAGCGGCAGCACGAGUAGUUUACUACUUGGUGGCGAGCGGCGGACGGCUGAGUAACGCGUGGGAACGUGCCCCAAAGUGAGGAAUAACUGCCCGAAAGGGUGGCUAAUGCCGCAUAUGAUCUUCGGAUUAAAGUAUUUAUUACGCUUUGGGAGCGGCCUGCGUCCGAUUAGGUAGUUGGUGAGGUAAAGGCUCACCAAGCCCACGAUCGGUAGCUGGUCUGAGAGGAUGACCAGCCAGACUGGAACUGAGACACGGUCCAGACACCUACGGGUGGCUG
rnacentral:rRNA from 1 species